rnacentral:pre_miRNA from 1 species
AUGAUGCUCCCUCCGUCUUAAAAUUAUUGUCUCAUAUUUGUUUAGAUAUGAAUGUAUCUAGUCAAAUUUUAGUAUUUAAUUUCUAGACAAAGCUAAGACAAGAAUUUUGGGACGGAUGGAGUACAAA